CCUACUGUCCUAACCCUAGUCUUAGCUCCAUCGUACAUGUCCUUGAUUACUCUGAUGUAGGCUUCCGGCACACUCUUCGCCUCCAAGCACCUCCAUAGUACCUCCCUUGGGACCUUGUCAUACGCCUUCUCCAAGUCGAUAAACACCAUGUGCAGGUCCUUCUUCUUAUCCCCUGAGUUGCCACCCACCGUCCUAACUCUAGACUUAGCUCCAUCGUACAUGUCCUUGAUUACUCUAAUGUAGGCUUCCGGCACGCUCUUCACCUCCAAGCACCUCCAUAGAACCUCCCUUUGGACCUUGUCAUACGCCUUCUCCAAGUCGAUAAGCAGUAUGUGCAGGUCCUUCUUCUUGUCCCUGAACUGCUCCACCGGCCUCCUGACAAGG
rnacentral:lncRNA from 1 species